UCGGGAAUUUUGCACAAUGGGCGAAAGCCUGAUGCAGCGACGCCGCGUGGGGGAUGAAGGCCCUAGGGUCGUAAACCCCUUUCAGCAGGGACGAAAAUGACGGUACCUGCAGAAGAAGCCCCGGCCAACUACGUGCCAGCAGCCGCGGUAAGACGUAGGGGGCGAGCGUUGUCCGGAUUUAUUGGGCGUAAAGAGCUCGUAGGCGGUUGCGUAAGUCGGAUGUGAAAACUCAGGGCUCAACCCUGAGACGCCAUCCGAUACUGCGCUGACUUGAAUCCAGUAGGGGAGUGCGGAAUUCCUGGUGUAGCGGUGAAAUGCGCAGAUAUCAGGAGGAACACCCAUGGCGAAGGCAGCACUCUGGGCUGGUAUUGACGCUGAGUGAGCGAAAGCUAGGGGAGCAAACAGGAUUAGAUACCCUCGUAGUCCCUGAGCGGGCUGGCAAGGCGCAU
rnacentral:rRNA from 1 species